rnacentral:lncRNA from 1 species
CCAGAUCACAGAAUGCAUGGGGACACUAGAGGCAUAGGAGGCAGUAGAGGUGUGAAUAUAGGGAACAGGAGCUGUGUGGCUGCUGGAGCGAUGGGGGUGAAAAUCAUCAGUGAGGUGGGAAUGCAGGGGGCAGUGAGGUGGGGAAUGCAGGGGUGAGGUGAGAAUGCAGGGGUGAGUGAGGUAGGAGUGCAGGGGUGAGGAAUGCAGGGGUGAGGUGAGAAUGCAGGGGUGAGUGAGGUAGGACUGCAGGGGUGAGGAAUGCAGGAGUGAGUGAGGUGAGAAUGCAGGGGUGAGUGAGGUAGGACUGCAGGGGUGAGGAAUGCAGGGGUGAGUAGAUAGGAGUGCAGGGGUAAGUGGGGUGGGGGUGCAAGGGGUGGUGAGGUGGGAAUACAGGGGGCAGAAAUAUAGAUAGAUAGUAUCUGGCAUAUUCUCCUGGAUAGCACCAGUCUGCAUGGGUGAAUGAGGUGGGGAUACAGGGGUGAGUGAGGUGGGAAUGUAUGGGGUAGUGAGGUGGGAAUGCAGGGGUGAGUGAGGUGGGAAUGUAGGGGGCAGUGAGGUAGGAAUGCAGGGGGCAGUGAUAUAUAAAUAUUAUCUGGCAUAUUCUCCUGUAUAGCACUAGUCUGCAGGAAUGAGUGAGGUGGGAAUGCAGGGGGCAGUGAGGGUAUGACUUCAGGGCAAUGGUAGGAGUGAACGCUGCACAACAGAGCUGGAUCGGGCCCUUAGAUGGUGCCGAGAGAGUUUGAGGCCUGAGAUGUCGCUGCCUCCGG